rnacentral:rRNA from 1 species
GACGAACGCUGGCGGCGGGCUUAACACAUGCAAGUCGAACGGAAAGACCCUGCUUGUUCGUGGUUUUCGAGGCGGAAACGUGAGUAUUACAUAGGAAUAACCUUCCCUGUAGGGUGGAAUGACUUGAGACGACUGCUGCUAAUACCUGAGUGCAGCGGCUGCUGCAUGGUGGGGUUUGGACAUUUUGGGCGGUUGGGGAUGGACGCGGGGCUUGUCAGCUUGUGGGUGGGGUAGUGGCUUACCAAGGCUUUGGCGGGUGGCCGGCCUGGGAGGGUGACCGGCGACAUUGGGACUAAGAUACGGCGCAGAGUGCAAUGGGAGGCAGCAGGGGGGAAUAUUGCACAAUGGGCGGAAGCCUGAUGCAGCAACGCCGGGUGUGGGAAGACGGCCUUCGGGUUGGAAACCGCUUUAGCCUGUGACGAAGCGUGAGUGACGGUAAUGGGUAAAGAAGCACCGGCUAACUACGUG